CCACCACCACCACCAUGGCCUUCCCCAUCCUCCUCCUCCUCCUGCUGGCCUCCAUCCCAGCCCUGCGGGCGGCCGUGACGCUGGAGGAGAGCGGCGGCGGCCUCCAAAGGCCCGGGGGCUCCAUGAGGCUCCUGUGCAAGGCCUCGGGCUUCCCCUUCCCCUCCCACCCCAUGGCUUGGAUGCGCCAAGCACCGGGGCGGGGGCUCCAAUGGGUCGCUACCAUUGACCCCAAUGGGGGUGGCACCGGCUAUGGGGCAGGGGUGUGGGGCAGGGCCUCCAUCAGCAGGGACAACCCCCAUGGCACGGUCACGCUGCGGCUGAGCGGGCUCACGGAGCGGGAUGCGGGCACUUACUACUGUGGGAAGGGUGGGCACGAUGCCCUCCUCCUCCUCCCCAUGCUUCUGAUGGAGAAACGGGUUAAAACCUCCAUCCGGACCUAA